AGUUACUAUACACAACAGUCUGUAGUCGAUCGAACAAAGAACCAGUUUUUGAACAUUUAAAUUGAAACCUCAAACAUUUAUUUUGAUUAAAAAAUUAGGUAAAUGUUCAGGAGAGCGGCUUUUCCGAAAACGUGCACCAAUUUUCACGGGAAAGGUCUUAAAAUACUCGUUUUUAGUUCUAAUUUACGAAUAUGUUAGGCGCGUGCCGGGUCGGCCUUAGUAUACGAUCCCACGAUUUCAGGGUUAAAAGUGGUAUGGUUGGAUAGAGCUGAUGCUCCAGAUUAAGAAAAUAUAUAAUUGUUGCCGCCGCAAACUUAUAGUUUUCGAGAUAUUUGCAUUUAAAGUUGAAAAUUUUGCAAAUUUUAUCUUGCAAUUUCUCGAUUGCUAGUAAUUAUUUAAUUCAUAUUAUGCACUUAUACUUCAUUACAUUGUUUCUACAUAUUUUUUUUCUAGUAAUUAUUUAGUUAUUUGCUUAAAAUAAGCAUUUUAUAUUUUACACAAUUUUCAUUUCAUGCACAAUAACAAAAGUAUUCCGUGUUGACAGAUAAUAAGUGUUGCCAUAAUUACACAUUUAUCAAACGAAUAAAAAUGAAUAAAAAAUAGGACUAUACCCCAAAUACAUAAAUCAUUGCCCUUUUUCUUGAUAUAUCAAGAUUUUUGAUACACCCCGGUGUUGGAUCGGCCAGGGUUAUUUUUUUGAAGCGCGGCCGAAGGCCGCCAACGCGAAAAGAAAGGAGUUUUACUUAAAAAAAACUUGAUACACCCCGGUGUUGGAUCGGCCAGGGUUAUUUUUUUGAAGCGCGGCCGAAGGCCGCCAACGCGAAAAGGAGUUUUACUUAAAAAAAACCUGAUGCAACCCGGUGUUGGAUCGAUCAGGGCUAUUUUUUUCGAAGCGCGGCCGAAGGCCGCCAAUGCAGAAAUAAGUGGGACGCGAAUGGACGAAUGUUUACCCUGUUUUACCUUUGUUGUAUUGCAAAUAAUCAUUAUGAUCCUUUUAUUAAAUUAUUAGAUUAAACGUACUUAUAAGCCUUAAAACUUUUUUUAUUACAAUGGAAAAUUUAUUUCAGAUGGUAUUUGUUUUCUGCGUUUGGGUUUUUAUAUCCAUUCUUAUUCAUUUGAUAAAUGUGUAAUUAUGGCAACACUUAAUAUCUGUAAACGCGGAAUACUUUUGUUAUUGUGCAUAGAAUGAAAAUUGUGUAAAAUAUGAAACGCUUAUUUUAAGCAAAUAACUAAAUAAUUACUAAAAAAUAAAUAUGUAGAAACAAUGUAAUAAAGUAUAAGUGCAUAAAAAGUGCAUAAUAUGAAAUAAAUAAUUACUAGAAAUCGAGAAAUUGCAAGAUAAAAUUUGCAAAAUUUUCAACUUUAAAUGCAAAUAUCUCGAAAACCAUAAAUUUGCGGCGGCAACAAUUAUAUAUUUUCUUAAUCUGGAGCAGCAGCUCUAUCCAACCAUACCACUUUUAACCCUGAAAUCGUGGGAUCGUAUACUAAAGUUUCCCCCGCGUGCCUUUAAAAUCAGUAUUUUCUUUGUUUUUAUCAAAAAACAUCGUAUUUCCCGAAAUCAAAAAUUCACUUUUGCACUUUACACGUCUUUGGAUGUUGAAAUUAUACUUUCUAUAAGUUAUAUUCACGUAAUUAUUGAUGUUCUUUCGUAAAUCAAUAAGAUAAAUAGGUUUUUUUGUUAUUUUUAUAAAAAUAUGAAAAACUUUACAAUCAAUUCACUUCAACGAAAAUGGCAAGGUAUGUUCGAAAUUAUGGCACAGCUGUUGUAAAUUCGAAUGGCCACUAUUGAUUCAUGAUCGUUUUCGAAUUAUCGAUACUCUCAAUAUUUGAGGCUGAUCGAGAAUUGAAAGAAGAAGAAUUUGGACACAGAAGAAUUUUGAACACCGGGGUUUUGGACCGACCAGGGAUAUUAUUUUUCGAGCGCUCGAAAUUUUGAGAAUAUCGAUAUUUUAAUUUAUUUAUAUUUUCCCAAUUAUUAUUAUUUUUCUAUUGUGUAUUUCUCAUUUUUACCAAUUUUCUUUCAAACUCGAAUAUUGAGAAUAUCGAUAUUUUAAUUUAUUUUUAUUUUUCCAAUUAAUUAUAUUUUUCUAUUAUAUAUCUCUCAUUUUUAUCAAUUCUUGUUUAGUCUCGAAUAUCGAGAGUAUCGAUAUUUCGAACCCAAUCACUGCUUGUAUCACUAGUUCUCAAUUGAAUUUCGAACAGUGAUGCCAUUUAUAGCGUGAAUAUUGUGCAAAAUCGAAAUAUUUUUUAUUGUUUUUAUUGCAAAAAUACAUAAAAUUAGAUAACGCGCCAUACAUAUUCGUGAAUCGGAAUUAAAAACGAAUUUUUAAAGACAUUUCCCGUGAAAAUUGGUGCACGUUUUCGGAAAAGCCGCUCUCCUGAACAUUUACCAAAAAUUAUGUUAACUUGGACUUUGAAUGGCAUAAUUCCGAUUUCUUUGGCGCCGCGAUCUGAAGAUACCGCUGGAAAAAGGAAGACCUCCUGAUUAAAAAAUACAAAGCGUUAUAGGUACCGCAAACGCUUAGUUUAUGAGAUAUUCGACCUCAAAGUUCAAAAAUUCUCAAAAUUCGAAGAUUUUAACAGGCUGUGAUUUAGAAUAGCAUCCCCGGAUUUGGGGCUUAAAAUGGAUAUGUACGGAUAGAGGAGGUCCUCCACAUCAAUGAAAUAAACACAUAUACAGCUGACUUAUGGUUUUUGUGAUAUUUGCAUUUAAAGUUCAGAAAAAAUAACUAAAAUGCGUGUGUCUCCGAUUUAUAAUGCAUUUUACACUUAUAUGUUAUAAUUUAUAUCCACUAAUACUACACUAGGCUAUAAUCGCAUAAGCGGUGUCUACGCCAAUUAAGAAGAAGAAGAGAAUACUACACUAAUUCGAAUCUAAUCAUUUAUUUUAUAUUAAAUAGUGCAAAAAUAACUUUAAUUCGGGUCGGCUUUAGUAUACCAUCCCACCAUUUCAGGUUUAAAAGUGGUAUGGCUGGAUAGAGCUGCUGCUCCAGAUUAAGAAAAUAUAUAGUUGUUGCCGCCGCAAAUUUAUAGUUUUCGAGAUAUUUGCAUUUAAAGUUGAAAAUUUUGCAAAUUUUAUCUUGCAAUUUCUCGAUUUCUAGUAAUUAUUUAUUUCAUAUUAUGCACUUUUUAUGCACUUAUACUUUAUUACAUUGUUUCUACAUAUUUAUUUUUUUAGUAAUUAUUUAGUUAUUUGCUUAAAAUAAGCAUUUUAUAUUUUACACAAUUUUCAUUCCAUGCACAAUAACAAAAGUAUUCCGUGUUUACAGAUAUUAAGUGUUGCCAUAAUUACACAUUUAUCAAAUGAAUAAGAAUGGAUAUAAAAACUCAAACGCAGAAAACAAAUACCAUCUGAAAUAAAUUUUCCAUUGUAAUAAAAAAAGUUUUAAGGCUUAUAAGUAUGUUUAAUCUAAUAAUUUAAUAAAAUGAUCAUAAUGAUUAUUUGCAAUACAACAAAGGUAAAACAGGGUAAACAUUAGUCCAUUCGCGUCCCACUUAUUUUUGCAUUGGCGGACUUCGGCCGCGCUUCGAAAAAAAUAACCCUGGCCGAUCCAACACCGGGGUAUGUCAGGUUUUUUUGAGUAAAAGUUCUUUUUGCGUUGGCGGCCUUCGGCCGCACUUCAAAAAAAAAUAACCCUGGCCGAUCCAACACCGGGGCGUAUCAGAUUUUUUUUUAAUUAAAACUCCUUUUCGCGUUGGCGGCCUUCGGCCGCGCUUCAAAAAAAUAACCCUGGCCGAUCCAACACCGGGGUGUAUCAGGUUUUUUUUAAGUAAAACUCCUUUUCGCGUUGGCGCCCUUCGGCUGCGCUGCAAAAAAAUAACCCUGGCCGAUCCAACACCGGGGUGUAUCAAGUUUUUUUUAAGUAAAACUCCUUUCUUUUCGCGUUGGCGGCCUUCGGCCGCGCUUCAAAAAAAUAACCCUGGCCGAUCCAACACCGGGGUGUAUCAAAAAUCUUGAUAUAUCAAGAAAAAGGGCAAUGAUUUAUGUAUUUGGGGUAUAGUCCUAUUUUUUAUUCAUUUUUAUUCGUUUGAUAAAUGUGUAAUUAUGGCAACACUUAUUAUCUGUCAACACGGAAUACUUUUGUUAUUGUGCAUGAAAUGAAAAUUGUGUAAAAUAUAAAAUGCUU